rnacentral:rRNA from 1 species
ACGGAGGAUGCGAGCGUUAUCCGGAUUUAUUGGGUUUAAAGGGAGCGCAAGCUGCGAGGCAAGUCAGCGGUCAAAUGUCGGGGCUCAACCCCGGCCUGCCGUUGAAACUGUUUUGCUAGAGUUCGAGUGAGGUAUGCGGAAUGCGUUGUGUAGCGGUGAAAUGCAUAGAUAUGACGCAGAACUCCGAUUGCGAAGGCAGCAUACCAACUCGCGACUGACGCUGAGGCUCGAAAGCGUGGGUAUCGAACAGGAUUAGAUACCCUGGUAGUCCACGCAGUAAACGAUGAAUACUAACUGUUCGGAGGGCGACCUCUGAGUGGUAAAGCGAAAGCGUUAAGUAUUCCACCUGGGGAGUACGCCGGCACGGUGAAACUCAGAGGAAUUGACGGGGGCCCG